rnacentral:rRNA from 1 species
AGGUGGGAGGCUUUGAAGUGUGGACGCCAGUCUGCAUGGAGCCGACCUUGAAAUACCACCCUUUAAUGUUUGAUGUUCUAACGUGGACCCGUGAUCCGGGUUGCGGACAGUGUCUGGUGGGUAGUUUGACUGGGGCGGUCUCCUCCUAAAGAGUAACGGAGGAGCACGAAGGUUGGCUAAUCCUGGUCGGACAUCAGGAGGUUAGUGCAAUGGCAUAAGCCAGCUUGACUGCGAGCGUGACGGCGCGAGCAGGUGCGAAAGCAGGUCAUAGUGAUCCGGUGGUUCUGAAUGGAAGGGCCAUCGCUCAACGGAUAAAAGGUACUCCGGGGAUAACAGGCUGAUACCGCCCAAGAGUUCAUAUCGACGGCGGUGUUUGGCACCUCGAUGUCGGCUCAUCACAUCCUGGAGCUGAAGUAGGUCCCAAGGGUAUGGCUGUUCGCCAUUUAAAGUGGUACGCGAGCUGGGUUUAGAACGUCGUGAGACAGUUCGGUCCCUAUCUGCCGUGGGCGCUGGAGAACUGAGGGGGGCUGCUCCUAGUACGAGAGGACCGGAGUGGACGCAUCACUGGUGUUCGGGUUGUCAUGCCAAUGGCACUGCCCGGUAGCUAAAUGCGGAAGAGAUAAGUGCUGAAAGCAUCUAAGCACGAAACUUGCCCCGAGAUGAGUUCUCCCUGACUCCUUGAGAGUCCUGAAGGAACGUUGAAGACGACGACGUUGAUAGGCCGGGUGUGUAAGCGCAGCGAUGCGUUGAGCUAACCGGUACUAAUGAACCGUGAGGCUUAACCUUACAACGCCGAAG